rnacentral:tRNA from 1 species
GGGGCCUUAGCUCAGUUGGCAGAGCGCCUGCUUUGCAAGCAGGAAGUCAGGGGUUCAAAUCCCCUAGGCUCCACCA